rnacentral:rRNA from 1 species
AUUGAACGCUGGCGGCAGGCCUAACACAUGCAAGUCGAACGAGUGGCGGACGGGUGAGUAAUGUCUGGGAAACUGCCUGAUGGAGGGGGAUAACUACUGGAACCGGUAGCUAAUACCGCAUACCAUCGGAUGUGCCCAGAUGGGAUUAGCUAGUAGGUGGGGUAAAGGCUCACCUAGGCGACGAUCACUAGCUGGUCUGCGAGGAUGACCAGCAACACUGGGACUGAGACACGGUCCAGAGUCCUACGGGAGGCAGCAGUGGGGAAUAUUGCACAAUGGGCGCAAGCCUGAUGCAGCCAUGCCGCGUGUAUGAAGAAGGCCUUCGGGUUGUAAAGUACUUUCAGCGGGGAGGCGGUACCCGCAGAAGAAGCACCGGCUAACUCCAUGCCAGCCGCCGCGGUAAUAC